UGGGGAAUAUUGGGCAAUGGGCGAAAGCCUGACCCAGCCACGCCGCGUGAGUGAUGAAGGCCUUCGGGUCGUAAAGCUCUGUGGGGAGGGACGAACAAGUUGCGGGCUAAUCACCGCGACCCUGACGGUACCUCCUUAGCAAGCACCGGCUAACCCUGUGCCAGCAGCCGCGGUAAUACAGGGGGUGCAAACGUUGCUCGGAAUUAUUGGGCGUAAAGCGCGCGUAGGUGGUGACUCAAGUCGGAUGUGAAAGCCCUUGGCUUAACCGAGGAAGUGCAUCCGAAACUGAGUUGCUAGAGUUUGGAAGAGGGUCGCGGAAUUCCCGGUGUAAAGGUGAAAUUCGUAGAUAUCGGGAGGAACACCAGUGGCGAAGGCGGCGACCUGGUCCGAGACUGACACUGAGGCGCGAAAGCGUGGGGAGCAAACAGG
rnacentral:rRNA from 1 species